GCCUUGGUGGUGAAAUGGUAGACACACAGGACUUAAAAUCCUGUGGGAGUAAUCCCGUGCCGGUUCGAGUCCGGCCCGAGGCACCA
rnacentral:tRNA from 2 species